rnacentral:lncRNA from 1 species
GGGAGGGGGUGCGCAGGCGCGCCCAUCCGCUCCCGCCCGCCGGGUCUCCUCAGUCUGGCGGUCAGGGGGCCCGUCUGUCUACUCUGCGGACAGGUCACGUUCGGCAGCAGGCCUUUGUCGCGUCCGUCCGGCCUUGGCAUCAGCUCGGAGAAGGCGGGUGGGAGGAGCAGGCCGCGAUGGGAAGGAGGGGAGGCCCAGGAGCCGGCGCCGGCCCUUAAGAGCCGGACAAGGAGCCCGCCCGCCGCCACGAGCAGGCGCCCGGGACAGGGAAGCCCCGGCGCGCUGGGGCCUUGGGGAGGCGAGGCUGGAGUCCAACGGCGUGAUCUCGGCUCACUGCAACCUCCACCUCCCAGC